UUGAACGCUGGCGGCAGGCCUAACACCUGCAAGUCGAGCGGAUGAAGGGAGCUUGCUCCUGGAUUCAGCGGCGGACGGGUGAGUAAUGCCUAGGAAUCUGCCUGGUAGUGGGGGAUAACGUCCGGAAACGGGCGCUAAUACCGCAUACGUCCUGAGGGAGAAAGCGGGGGAUCUUCGGACCUCACGCUAUCAGAUGAGCCUAGGUCGGAUUAGCUAGUUGGUGGGGUAAAGGCCUACCAAGGCGACGAUCCGUAACUGGUCUGAGAGGAUGAUCAGUCACACUGGAACUGAGACACGGACCAGGCUCCUACGGGAGGCAGCAGUGGGGAAUAUUGGACAAUGGGCGAAAGCCUGAUCCAGCCAUGCCGCGUGUGUGAAGAAGGUCUUCGGAUUGUAAAGCACUUUAAGUUGGGAGGAAGGGCAGUAAGUUAAUACCUUGCUGUUUUGACGUUACCAACAGAAUAAGCACCGGCUAACUUCGUG
rnacentral:rRNA from 1 species